rnacentral:rRNA from 1 species
GUCCUACGGGAGGCAGCAGUGAGGAAUAUUGGUCAAUGGGCUUACGCCUGAACCAGCCAAGUCGCGUGAGGGAAGACUGCCCUAUGGGUUGUAAACCUCUUUUGUCAGGGAGCAACGCCGGCUACGUGUAGCCGGACUGAGAGUACCUGAAGAAAAAGCAUCGGCUAACUCCGUGCCAGCAGCCGCGGUAAUACGGAGGAUGCGAGCGUUAUCCGGCUUUACUGGGUGUAAAGGGAGCGCAGACGGGAAGGCAAGUCUGUUGU